CUGUCAGCAUCAUUUGACCAAAUGAGGAAUUUAAGCGUCAAAAUGUUAUCUCUCAGAACAUCCUUCAAACCUGGUCUGACUGGAUCCCGAAUUGUGCCUUACCUAACUCCCCAAAGGGACUGGAAAACUGUAUUGGCUGCAUAUGGUGAUAGCAAAAGGGCAACCACAGUUACUGACCCUGUGGAUCAAGAACCAUGACCUCUCAAAGCAACUCAGCUGCAAGAUGCCACCCGCGCAAGCUAAUCUUUAUAAGCAGCUCUUUGGAGACAGCCUCCCUGCAUCAGAGCAAAGAGAGGCUGUGUUUCCUGUACUCCGGAGUCACGGCAGUGCCCUUUCCAGGCUGCUGAGAUGCCCAAUAUGCAUUCCUGCACACCAACCAUGCCACAGAGAGCCUGGUUCUGCAGUGAAAUUAAGCCUCUGCAUCCCUCCACCAUUUAGACCUGAGAACUUGCCCUCUCAACCUACUCAGAUGGAGAAGUCCUAUAGAGAAGAGAGGAGGGCCUUGCAAAAACCCCUUGCAUUCUGCCAGAGACUAACAGCUCUAGGAAGUCUACAGGAGCCUUAAGAACAAUUCAGCUCCUCUGGGAGAAGAGCCAAAUUGGCUGGAAGGCAGACACCUCAGUAUUUGAGAAUCUAUCAGCUAUCUGGCUUUAGCAAUGAGCAAGUCAUCCAGUCAAGAAAAACAUCUCCAGGUGUUAAAUCUUUGAGCAUACCAGAGCAUAAUGGAACCAAGCCUGAGGGGGGUUAUCUAACUUCCGACAAUGACAAUCCCACUAACAAAGAUGCUGGGGCAACGCCCGGAUGUAAGGGCGGAAGCAGUGCUUGGGGCUGUGGAAUGGAAAGGUGGGCCCCCAUGCUCACUCUGAUGAAUGCGGCCAGAAAAGGGAAUCUGCAUUUACGAUGGCAGGGAGGAAGAUAUAACAAAAGUCAGUUACAUGAAGGAGAGAGAGGCAGAGACCACUCAUAUCAGCAAAGCCAUUGUUUGAACGGCCUGCCUUCACUACAUACCUCCCAGGCUCUGGGGAAACAACUGAG